UACAGAGACUGCAAGCGUUAUUCGGAUUUACUGGGCGUAAAGGGCGCGUAGGCGGCCAGCACAAGUCAGUUGUGAAAUCUCCGGGCUUAACUCGGAAAGGUCAACUGAUACUGUGCGGCUAGAGUGCAGAAGGGGCAACUGGAAUUCUCGGUGUAGCGGUGAAAUGCGUAGAUAUCAGGAAGAACACCAAUGGCGAAGGCAGCUCUCUGGGACGGUACUGACGCUGAGACGCGAAAGCGUGGGGAGCGAACAGG
rnacentral:rRNA from 1 species